rnacentral:rRNA from 1 species
GAACGCUAGCGGCAGGUCUAAUACAUGCAAGUCGGACGGGAUUGGAGAGCUUGCUUUCCAUGAGAGUGGCGCACGGUGUGCCGUAACACGUCCGUAACCUACCCAUAUCAGGGGGAUAGCCUCUCGAAAGAGAGAUUAAGCCCGCAUAAAAUCACACGGUGGCAUCACCAAAUGAUCAAAUAUUUAUAGGAUAUGGAUGGGCAUGCGGAACAUUAGCUAGUUGGUAAGGUAACGGCUUACCAAGGCUACGAUGUUUAGGGGAUCUGAGAGAGAUGACCCCCCACACUGGUACUGAGACACGGACCAGACUCCUACGGGAGGCAGCAUUUUAGGAAUAUUGGUCAUAUGGGCGCAAGCCUGAACCCAGCCCAUGCCGCGUGCAGGAAGGCGGCCCUACGGGUUGUAAACUGCUUUUAGAUCGGGAAUAAACCCUACCAACGUGUUGUAAGAAAAAAUGUACUGUAGAAUUAAGGAUCGGCUAACUCCGUGCCAGCAGCCGCGGUAAAUACGGAGGGAUCCAAAGCGUUAUCCGGGAUUUAUUGGGUUUAAAGGGUGCGUAGGCGGCCAAUUAAGUCAGGGGUGAAAGACGGUAGCUUAACUUAUCCGCAGUGCCUUUGAUAACUGAUUGGCUUGAAUGUACUUGAGGUAGGCGCGAAUUGUGACAAGUAGCGGGUGAAAUGCAUAGAUAUGUCACAGAACACCAAUUGCGAAGACAGCUUACUAAAGUAUAGAUUGACGCUGAGGCACGAAAGCGUGGGGAUCAAAACAUGAUUAGAUACCCUGGUAGUCCACGCCCUAAACGAGUCCCACUCGAUGUUGGCGAUAUACGGUCAGCGUCUAAGCGAAAGCGUUAAGUGUUCCACCUGGGGAGUACGCCCGCAAGGGUGAAACUCAAAGGAAUUGACGGGGGCCCGCACAAGCGGAGGAGCAUGUGGUUUAAUUCGAUGAUACGCGAGGAACCUUACCCGGGCUUGAAAGUUAGUGAAUAGAGCAGAGACGCUCUAGUCCUUCGGGACACGAAACUAGGUGCUGCAUGGCUGUCGUCAGCUCGUGCCGUGAGGUGUUGGGUUAAGUCCCGCAACGAGCGCAACCCCUAUGUU